rnacentral:rRNA from 1 species
UACAGAGGGGGCAAGCGUUGUUCGGAAUUACUGGGCGUAAAGGGCGCGUAGGCGGCCUGCUAAGUCGAACGUGAAAUCCCCGGGCUCAACCCGGGAACUGCGUCCGAUACUGGCAGGCUUGAAUCCGGGAGAGGGAUGUGGAAUUCCAGGUGUAGCGGUGAAAUGCGUAGAUAUCUGGAGGAACACCGGUGGCGAAGGCGGCAUCCUGGACCGGUAUUGACGCUGAGGAGCGAAAGCGUGGGGAGCGAACAGG